rnacentral:rRNA from 1 species
AUUGAACGCUGGCGGCAGGCCUAACACAUGCAAGUCGAGCGAGCGGCGGACGGGUGAGUAAUGUCUGGGAAACUGCCUGAUGGAGGGGGAUAACUACUGGAAACGGUAGCUAAUACCGCAUACCAUCAGAUGUGCCAAGAUGGGAUUAGCUAUUAGGUGGGGUAAUGGCUCACCUAGGCGACGAUCCCUAGCUGGUCUGAGAGGAUGACCAGCAACACUGGGACUGGGACACGGUCCAGACUCCUGCGUGAGGCAGCAGUGGGGGAUAUUGCACAAUGGGCUCAAGCCUGAUGCAGCCAUGCCGCGUGAGGGAAGAAGGCCUUCGGGUUGUAAAGCACUUUCAGCGGGGAGGCGUUACCCGCAGAAGAAGCACCGGCUAUCUCCGUGCCAGCCGCCGGGGUAAUAC